AAUUUUAUCAGUUUAAUAAAAAAAAUUAAAUAUAUAUACAUAUAAUUGAUGUACACGUGUACAUUAUUUGAAGAAUGUAGACAUUUGGUAAAUCUUUGUUUUGUUUAUUUAUGCCAUGUAAAAUUUAUUUUAUUUUAUUUGUCGAACACAACAAAUUAAAUUUUCAUAUAAUUUUCUUUUAAUUAAAUUUUUAUAACUUUAAUUUUUUAUUAACCCGAGUUACGUCGGUAAGUGCGCAAUCGUAAACGACGUGCGACGUGCGAUAAUAGUACCGAUCGUGGGACAUGAAAUAAAAUACAGGUUUUUGUUUCGAGAUGUCACUGUCGACGCGAUAUUUGAAUCAUUAGUUCUUUGAUACAACGCGCGUCCGGAAUGAAGGUCUUUUCAACAGUUUAGCUGUGUGCUCUCUGUACUGCACCAAUAUUGUACUUUGUUGAAAUGAGAUGGAUACACGAUUACAUGCGAAGACGAACGCGACGUAUUUGUCGGCGGAUAUGGCGGGUCUUUCAUCGUCUUCCUCUCCUCUCGCCUCCUCUCAACGUGCUGUCGUCGCCGUCGUCUACGGAGUGAUACACCCUCUCGUCGGAAGUGGAAACCUCGUCGUCAGAAGGAAGCCGACGCUCAGGAUUAUCACGAGUCUCCUACGAAUGGAUUGUUGAUCGGAUGACGACAGAUGGUGAGUGAAUUUAUUCAUCGUUAUCUGCAUGACUAUUUUUCUUUUUAUUUUGUGCUUUUAUUUAAGAGCAAAGCGUCCAUGAUAAACGCAUGUGGAGAAAACAAAUUCUGGCGAUUAAUGUCGUUAUAACUCUAAAAUUUUAACACAAAUAAUUUUUUAAUAUUAUUGAAAUGGAAGUAAUACUGAAAAUAAUCAAAAUAUAGACAAUAAAUGUGACACGACGUAAUAUUUGUAAUAAUUGUACGGUAAUACUUUAGAAAUUGUAUAACUAAAAUGAUUACGAGGAAGAAUUCUCGUUAAUUAACGCGCUGAACAUUGACGCAUUGCUCAAAGGUGUCUGAACUUUUCUAUCUUUGUACCUCUCGUAUUUUCGCGCACCGAGAAAUGUGUUGUUCACACCCAGUAUAUCCGCUCGCAAAACGCGACAGACUUCGUUACUUCGCGGUGGUUCAUAAUUAGGCCAUCGAGCCUAUUAAAAGUUAGGCGGGCUUGUUAAGCACGCGGCGCGACUAUUUCUGGAGCUAAGAGCCGUAUACUUACAUCGAUCGACACGUGUUUCGUCGGGCGGACGAAGUAAUCACACGCUCAACUUACGCGCACUUGUUAAAAGGUGAUUAGCAUCGCCAAGAGAAGAAAAUUGUUGUUUAAACCGUUUAGUUUCUAUAUAUACUUACUCGGAGAUGAGCCCCAAAGAUUACUCUUUAUCUUGACACUCAUUUAAAAAUUCUGGAGGCAGACAGAAGUACACUGCAAGAGAGGGAGAGAGAUUAUUUCAUAACAUUUUAUAAACGUAAUAUAUAAAAUUCCAGAGAUAAUGCAGUCGCCCAUUUCUCUAAUUUCGGAAAAUUUUUAUUCUAGCGAUGUAAAGAGGUCUCUGCUCUUUUGUGAAUAAAGUGUUAAAACUUAGCAAUUAGAGAAGAUUUUUACAAAGGAACGUAAAGUAAUUUCGUAUACUCGCGCAUACAAAAUUAAUCAUUUAUACGAAAUACAAGCGCUUAGUUUGUAGGACACAACUUACAAUUUCGAAGUAAUUGAAUUACAAAGUUUCCCAAGCUAACCAGAAGAUUUUAGCUUUUAGUCACGACUGAGGAGAACGACUUAUUUAGAUGUAAUUUAAAUUCCGCGACGCGAUAUUAUAUUGGUUCUUAGAGAAAAUCAGCGUGCAAUUACGAUAAUAGAGUUCAAUUUAUUUUGUGACGUCACGGACGAAUGGUGAAUGAUUCUUCACAGUUUGGGAAACUAAUAAUUUGUAAGUUUCGAGGAGGAAAAGUCGAGAUUAUCCACGGCACUCGUACAUAGAGUAUUGGGAAAAUUCUGUCGAGUCCGCGCGCGUUGUCGCUGUCAGCACGACGCGGUCAAAGGUGCCACGCUCACGGUAAAAACCGCGAACGCUUCGCUGUAAACCAGAGGCAAAUAGAAAAAAGAGAGGAAAAAAAAUAUAUAUAUAUUUAUAUAGAUCGGAGAAUAAAAGCGGAAAAAGGAGCAGCCGCGCAUCGGUUGCGGCCGAUUCGGCUGGCGCUCAUGGCGAUAGCCAUUGGCGAUAAGGACUUCAUUGUCUCGCUGUCGAAUCGAAAAACGGACGAACGCGCGCUCCAACAGGGGCGGGAAGAGAAGGGAAGAGAAAAAAAACAGAGCAGAGGAAGGAAAAUCGGAACGGGGGUGGCGACAAAGCGGCCAAUGCUCAACGGAUGCGAAUUUUUCGGCGCGUCUGCGUGCGUGCGGACGCGAAAAAUGCGCAAUCUGCAAAGUGAGCUGAAAGCGAGCGUCGUCAGUCUCAGAUAAACGGCGCGCGUACGAACCAUAACGCCAUUCGUUGUCCGAAAACGUUUGUCACGGCGGUUGGAGUACCGGGAUUUUCGUAAACAAUUGGAGAAAGAGAGAGAGAGAGAGAGAGUUAGAAAAAGCGGACACGUAAAAUAUUAGAUAAUUUCUCUCGCAAACGUAGAUUUAACGAUCUUUGUUGCUUAAAACUUUUUGCCCGAGAUCAAUUUUGCCUGGUGCGUUUACUCGCGCUCGACAACUGAAUCGAGGAACUUGUACUUUAUUCGAUAUUUAAUUAAAUUCGUGUAAUUCCCUCGUUUAAAAGGCAUCAACGCCUUGAUUCGCGGUAGUAUUUAUAAUCAGGUGACGACCAGGCCACAGGUGAAACGAAGACGAUCCUUGGGCGAAAGGCCCUGUUAGAUUUUAAUUUGUCUCGGCUGAUUGAAUCUCGAAAUUGGAAAUAAUUAUUCGAACACACGAAUGAGUGCGAUACGGUUUACCUGGUAUCGUCAGAUCGCGACGACGUCGACGUCGACGUCGACGGUAUCGCGGCGGAUAAAGUAUCGGCGCGCCAUCGAUCUCUCCAGCCGCCAGUUUCCUACACUCGCAAUUUCCGACUAGCUACAACAGUCACCUAACCGGAUCAAUUUUUCAUUCAAAGAUAAAUUGGGGACGGGGACGUGAAGCCUGGUAGCCGACCGCCUUGCGUGACAGCGGUUCGAAAAGCGCGACGAGGCGUGAACGCGGUUUAGCGCGCUACUAGUUUGGCUCGCUCGGCGGAUGUCUGCGUAAAUUAUUGGAUUCCGGGCAGCUGAUCAGGAUAAUGGUGACACUUUGUAGUUUCUAUCUUUAUCCCUUGUACAAAUCGAUGUGGUUAAGCGACCCGUAGCGGCUUACAAACUAUUUUCAAGCUAAAUUAGUCACUAAAUGAUAUUUCCAAUAAUCAUGACUCUCGGAGUCGUUAACUUUUCCCGUGACAGAAAUCAUUAUAAUUUUUAAAUAACUUUCUAGAUAUAUAAAAUAUUUGUGUGCGAAAAUGUUCAGUUGCCGUUGAUAAUCUUGCAAUAAUUAUCGAUAUUAUAAUUAGAAAGUCGAACAUUACUUUUUUAUUCGCUGACUUUUUAUUUCUUACGAUUAUGACUUUAUGGCUUUACGAGUAUUUAUUAUGAAUAUUAUACGGAUAUUUUCUCUGUUUAUAUUUAAUGAUAUGGCGCUAGCCAAAUAUACAAAAUAAUUUAGUAAGUCGUAAAGUGAGUUGAUGUGUCGUUGAACUGUAAUUCGUUGAACAUGUACAAUUGAGUGAAAAAAGUCAUAUUACUUGGAAUAGAAAAACUGGUUACUAUGGAUCUUAUCUCGAUAUAAUUUCUGUGCUAACGGAGAGAGGUAUACGGGAAUAAAUAGCGUUAAUUUCUCACUUUUUGGCGUAAAAUUGCGCGAUACGGCCAUUUCCUCGUAUUCGGGGAGCUUGUAACCGGCGAGAAGGGCGGAAGGAAGGGAACGUGGUGGAUGGAGGCGCAGCAGGCCACCCGGUAACUUGGAAGCCAUAUUAAUAGUCGGCACUUAAGAGUUUCAUUAAGUCGCGACCGCUCGAUCACUGCCUACACCGCGUCGCUCUCCCACCGGCAACUUUCAGGCCCCAUAACCGCCAUCUCUGCUUUCAGGCUACCCCUCACUCCCUUCCUUUAGCUAAAGUUACUUCCCGCAUGUCUAGAAGUCGCGUACGUAAGCCAGGGUUCUGUCAAUUCUGACGUAUUACAUUUUUCAGCUAGCUAAUUACGAACGAAUAGGAGGUAUUUCUUACUGUUGUGUCUUGUGUGAUGUUUCGUGAAUGGCAUGCGUUUAUUCGUUUCUUCUUUGAGAUUAAGAAGUUUUUUUUUGUAUGAAAUAAUCUCUGAUGUUGUAUAUUUCUUUAAAGACUGAUGAUAUUGGAUUGUAUUAGCAAAACUUGAAUCUUUGAGAAGAAUAUUUUGAAACAAAUAUGUGCGAAAUAUAUUUAUGACACAGAGGAAGCAAUUUAUUUAUAUACUAGGAAAUAUUUUACGUGUAUAUAAGUAGCUUUGUUAAUUAAGAUAUAUUGGAUAGGGGGUAACUUCAAUUCUAUUCGCUUCGUCUAGUUAUAAGUUUAUAAUUUUGUGAUAAUAAUUUACAUUAAUGUCGUAUAAAUUCUGUUCAAAUAAAGUUUUCAUUAGCAUUUACUAACAUCGUGCCAUAUUUGUCAACGCGAACGCGAGCGCGCGCGCACGACAUGUAAUUCCCGUAGAUAAAUGUCAGCGUUGAAGCAUCGCGUAAUGUGAACCGCGAUAUUUAUCGUAUGAAAAUAUUACGAAGGGUGUAAACUUCUUCGUUAAAGUCAGAGCUUGUCCUAAUAUCGUCAGUCGACGGAUCCUCAAGUUUUCCUUAAUUAAGCUUUGAUUUAACCUUUCAAUAAAAUUGUGUUUAUAACUGUGUUUGAUUAUAAUUUAUUUUCUUUUAUUGGAUAUUUUAUAAUAAUACUACAAAUUAUUUAUAACAACGCGCGCGUACUACAACAUAAAUUAUUGUAAUGCAAAAUUGUCUAACGGAUCUUAAUUAUGCAAAAAGAUUUCUUUAGCACGAAAGAAAAAAACGAAUACUUCGUAAAAGAUAUCGUCGUUCUAAAUUUAAUUACGCCAUUAAUUUUUCGCUAAUAAAAAGACAAAAAUAUUAAACUGCCGUUGCACAAGUAGUAGGUAUAAUUGAUAUGCGAGCAACGGCAUUCAUAAAGUUCUACUUUUAUUAAAGAUAACAAUAGUUCAUUCCGCGUGGCAAAUGCGAAACGGAGCUGAAAGGUGUGUACGGGUGUAAUUGUCAUUCAUAGAGCCAUAAGGCUGGCGACGCGAUCUGCACUUUAUUUUUCUUUUUACGCCGGAUAGGGCGCAAUUUACCUUCCCAUUCACGCGCACUUAUCGCGCCUCUAAAGGAUAUCUUGAGGCAAUUAGCCGAGCGGAGAAGGUAAAUGGGAGUAUAGUGGCGCAGCUUGGUAGCAAUUGCGGCGGCAGUUCCUCGGCUGCGUAUUAAUUAGCGUUUCCCGCACAUUUGGCGGAAUUAUCCGUCGCGAUCGGCCGCACUAGCGAACGGAUUAUUUGUCAUCGGUGGGAGCCACGCGAAAACGCCUAAUCGCUUUCGACACUGUUUCGCAAAGUAUACCACAGUCAGUGUAAACAAUUACUGAUAUCUCCCGUGGCAGAAAAAAAACGUGGCGCGGGGUGCACGAGCGAAGAGAAUGGACCAACCGCAAAACACCCUGGGCUGUAUUUGCAGCACGCGCAUCUCCGUCGUCACCAUCGCCUCUUCUACCACUUUUACGCGAGAAUUUAUGACCCUCCGUACGCCAGUGAUUGAGAUGGGCGUAUCUAAUGGCGCGGCUGUCCGCACCGACGAUCUAUGCGAACCGAUUCCCGGCUGCAGCCCUCUCUCUUCUUUACUCCUUUCUCUCUCUCGUUUUCUAUCUCGUUCUCGGUCUCCUCUACGUUUCUUUUGUCGGCCCGUCUCUCCUUUCUUCCUUCCCGUAAGCGAACGCAGAUAAAGGGAAAAAGCAACGAAGGUGCGGCGCGGUUCGCAAACGCCAGCUUGAUUUAGUCUGUCUAUCCGGUAAAUAAAACUAAGUUAUCACGCGCAGGGGAACUAUCGAAGGGUGCAGGUAGUUCGUAGAUAUUCCGAGCGACUUUGCGUCGUUGAUUUCACGACGCAAGUCGCGAUGUUUUAACAGCAGUCCGAUGAUCUUGAUUCGAGAUCUGCGAAUUUGGCACGAUUGUAUUGUAUCUCGUAUCUCUAAUUUACUGAAACAUCGCGUAUCGAAUCUAUGUUCGGUUGGUCCCGAUAACGCGCGCAAACGCAUUUUGGUCGCCAAUUUCACGAUUGCUUUCGCUUAUGAUAAUUGUGGGUGGUAAUUACGAUAACCGUUAAUAGAGCCCCUCCCGGGACGCGUUCGAUAUCACUUCUCUCUCGUAAAAAUCGCGUGUAUGUUUUUUUUUGCAUGUGAAUUACGAGCGGAGGCGAAACAAUGUUACCGCAGAAUUUCGUAAUGGUACACAAGGAACGUGCAAUUUGCCACGAUAACAGUUGUUCGGCUCGUGUAGCUUUCACCGGUCGGGCCGUGGGCAGGUAGCAGAAUCCGACCAGGCAUGCAUGACAGUAUUGUCUUGCGGUAACGAAAUUUCAUUAUUCGUGUGGGUUGCCGCGUGCACACACGCUCGGCAACGCGGCUUUGUGCCGCGCGAACAAAGAUAACGCUGAUGUCCGCUGUCCGCUGUCUCAUCUAUAGGAGUAAUCGUAAAUAAAGUCGGCGGCGCGGCGUGAGAAUAACGCGGUCGCGGUUUUUCCCCGCGCGAAAUGGAAGAUAUCAGUUUUUUCCGGCUUGCAUUACACGCUGCAUUAGGUCGGAUCUACAAUAGGUGUAGUAAGCCUUAAGCCAUGAAGAAUUAACUAAUAAAAUAUAUUCGAUUAUUCUUUC